rnacentral:lncRNA from 1 species
AAAAAUCCCAAAAUAAUUUCUAAAAUUUUAUUUUAUUUUUCUUCAUCUGAUUUUUUAUUUUAUCACAUUUUAUUUUCUUUAUUUUCUAUUUUUCUUUAAUUUUCUCUUUUUUCCUUUAUUUUAAUUGGUUUAAAAAUACUUUUAUGCAUUUAAAAUUUCUGAAAAAAUUAAUUUAUGUUUGUUAUUUUAUUCCUAACAUUCCA